ensembl:lncRNA
AACACUUUUGGCAGAUUUUUCUGUUUGGUCUGUCUCAUUAAAUCAUCUGAACUGGAAUCUAGAACUCAAGCACCAAAUACAGUUCAGAUAAAAUCACUUUUUCUUGCUGCUGUAUCUAACUGGCUGCAUUUUCUUAUUUAAAAAACAAAGAGAACUGCCAUCAGAAGAAUAUCCACACUCGCUGCCUUCGUCUUAAAUAAUAGAAAAUAUGCUGUGCUUCAAUAUUCUUUAUUGUUCAAUACUGCAGUGCAUCAUCACCACGGUUGUUAUUCCACAUGUUCUCAUUGUCAGCAGUCACUCAAGUGCCAAAUAAAAUGCAAUGAAGACAAUGACGGCGGGUAUUAUCAGCAUAAUAGUGGAGGAGCAGAAAAUAAACAGAGCUUCCUCUCCGUCGUAUAGAACUUUUAUAACCAAAAUAAUGAGAUUUUUGAAAUGCUUGUGAAAUCAUUAUAUACAGACCCUUUCAAUAAAUAGGUGCAUUUAAUAUUAAAUUAAUAUUUCCUUACAAAUAUAUGGUACAUGCAGGUACAGUGGAAUAAAAAGCAAAAAAUCUGUUCAAAAACAACCAAUGAAUGUCCGUGUUUUUCAGAAAUGAAACCGAACAACAAUGUUCAGACUGCUGUGGCUCUGAAGGCACUUCCUUGGCAACGCUUUGAUCCCUCUUCCGGUAUUUUAGGGGCCUGAAAUGAAAAAUUGCAAAACAUUUUUUAAAAAAGCAGACUUUAAAUCUUUUUCUUGGAAUUAAAAACAGCUUCAUUAAAAUCCAGCUCCGUCCAGUAAUGAUGAACCAAUGAAUCACUUAAUGUGAUUUACGUUUGUCAGGUUUCUCCAGGAUCUUAUUAUUAUCUCAUCCUUCACUGGACAAACGGAGAAUGUGUCAUCCUCCUCGGUUUUAUAAUCACUCCAACCCCCGAGUCAAACGGACAGAAACCACCUUCUACGUAGACAAACCGUCCUUUCACUCGCCGGUUACGACUAAUUGCUGUGAACACAUUCAGACCCGCUGUCAUCACAGUUCACCUGAACAAAGACUAGAACUACUCCUGUGACGACAGUCCGAGUCCUUCUGCCGUUUAUUGUCUUUAAGAUUGGCAUAAAAAGCACCAGACAGUAGAAAUGUUCCUAAAAUAACUCGGUCUGUGCAUCAUUUAUGGGUGAAAAAUAUCACCUUUUCAGGUUAAAUGACCAAAACAUGUCUCCGUGAGUCUCCAAUCAUCGUCUCUGAUAUUUGGAAUUUUCCAAUUAUUGGUAUCUGUAAUUUUAUUUAUUAAUUAUUGAUGAACUAAAUGCUCUACUUCAGCUGUGAUCAGCCUCCUCUCUCUGUCUGCCGUCACUCUGUGGUCUUAGAAACGUCUCUCAAGUAGUGAAAACUCAACAAGAAACCAGGAAAUUUGCUUCUCUAACAGCGGCUAAGGCUAUGCUAACAGCUAAAUAUAAUACACUGUAAUGUUGGACAGCAGCAUCAUCCAUGUUUUAUGUAUAUAUUGAUGUCUUAUGUUCAGAUUUGUGGGUCUUUAAUGCGCAUUUUGUCUGUUCAUUCUGCACCAGACCACAUUUCUGCACUCAGCUGAUGAAAGAUUCCAUGGUUUCUGAUUGGGAUUAUCAUGUCCAAUGUUUGGCAUUUUCCCAGUUAUCGGUAUCUGUAUUUCUAUUGAUCGACUAUUGAUUGAUUAAAUGCCUGUCUGCCGUUACUCUGUGGUCUCAGAAACGUCUCUAAAGAAGCAAAGACUCAACAAGAAACACAAACCAGGAAGUUAGCUGGUGUGGUAGGACGGCCACUCAGGUUGUGUGCAUUGAGUCAGGUUCGUGCAGCUGGGAGUAAUCAUCCUAAUGCACCUUGCUUGCUGGGCGGUGCCACGCCAGGUUAUAUCUGGGAGAGGGCUGCGCGUUUUGUACGUGCAUCCUCUUACCUCUUUCUGGAGCCUACGUGCCACAUCAGCAACGUGGCGUGGAUGUGUGGAUCCACGUGGCGGUCUCGAGACGCUGGCUGUCGAGCUUUCUCUUGUCAGAGUCGGGCCGUAUUCGGGCUGAAGGCUGGGAGCCGGGAGUAAUAAUUCACACGCUGUAUUGAAUUCCUGAGUGAUCAUGCUGCUUUCUUCCACGGCUGUCUCCCCUGUUGCCUGAGGAGCUGCGUCUUCACGGACGGCCGGUUCUAUCGCAGAAGCGGGCUACUGCUGUUCUGUCUGUGGUUCAUCGCGGCAAGCUCUCUGCUCAUCGGCAGUUGUUUUAUUGUUUUUUUUUUGGUGUUGUGUGAUGUUUUAAAAACAAAACAACGACGAUCUUGGUGUGCGCGUGCCUAUUGCCCAGCACGCCUGUUAUUGAGAGUAUUAUUAUUAUUAUUAUUAGUGUUAGAAUUAUUAGUGUUAGAAUUAUUAGUGUUGGAAUUAUUAGCAUAGAUCUUGGGAUUCUUUAUUAGUUAGUUUUGUUAUUUAUUUAUUGUUUAUUCACUUAUUUGUUGGGUUUGCGUAUUUAAGUUAUCCAGUUAUCCUUUUUUUGGGUUUAUAAAUUUUUUUUUUUCCUGUUUUUGGUUUAUUGGGUUGACUGGGCAAGGGAGUAAGGGGUGCAUGUUGGCAUAAUUGGCCUUGGGGGUGACCUCCUGGGCCCAGCCUAGUGUGGUGUUGGGGCAGUUUAUUUGAGAUCUAUGUAGGUGUGCCUCAUUUUCCCGUGACUAACAGUUUGCCUCUUUUUCUUGGACAGGAGCUGUUGGGCCAGGUGGCUGGUGGCUGACUGAUUCCCCCGGCGGUGGUGGUCCCUUUACUCCCUGUACAGUAGUGCACUUGGGUGUCCGUCAGUGGUUUUGUUUUGUUCACGUGUGGUGUGGUGCAUCAGGACCCUUCUCCCCUUCAGUUAGUCAUCUCUGCCUGGUAAGCCCUCAGCCCUGUGCCUGGCGACGGUGUUUCAGUGGCAAACUUAACCAAGUCAGGGGGGCCCCUGGAGGAUUAGAUUAAUACUGUGCCACUUACUACUGAGUUAUUUCUUGGCAUCGCCACCAAGGUUUUUUUAGUGAUGAAAGCGUGUCAAUUUUUAAAUAUUGUUAAUAAAUUUCAUUUUUCUAUACUUGGAAUUGCAUCAGUCUCCGGUGUCUCUUGUACCUGUGUGACCUUUCUUUUAUCUGUAUUGGAGUGGUGGUCCUCCUUAAAUAGAUCUCCUGGGGGUGAAACUCCCCCAGGUGGCGUUGUCAGACACGUGGUAAAUAACAAACAUACAUCUAACCCUUGUAGCCUUGCCACACUUGUCUCACAGUGGCUAAGGCUAUGCUAACGGCUAGCGGCUAAGGCUAUGCUAACGGCUAGCGGCUAAGUUAGAAGGCAGAUUAACCUGAAACAGAAUCUGGAAAACAAUUAAAUAAUAAAGCUUUAAGAUCUGGACCUUAGUGGGAAAUAAAAAUGAUGAAACGGUGAAAUAUUAAGAAAAUGAAGAACAGCAGAAGAAAAACUGAUGAUUGUCAGUCGAUCCACAUAAACAGACAAAUUUAAUCCCUUCUUUUUCUAUUUUACAUAUUCAGUUAUAGUCGCCCUGAUUAAUGAAUGACAGCUUCUCUUCUAUCAUAUGCUGUUAAAAACUUUACAUUGAAUGUAUAUUGGCUCCAAAUAUCAGUUGUCAGCUUUUAUUGAUGACCAAUAAUCGGUAUCGGCCCUUAAAAAAAAAAAACCCUCAUAUCUGUCGAUGUUGGUAUUAAACAGCACUAGACAGCUGAUCAUUAAUUAUGUUUUAAAACCUCUCCAUGGUUUCCAGACGGCACACGAGAUGUUUUCUACUUUCACAUGGAUGUUCUGUUCCAGCAGCAGGAUUCUGUACGGUGGCCGAGGGGUGCAAACGCAGCACAAAAACGGAACGCCCUGCAAGAGACAAAAACACCCACAAAAAAUAAAUGCUGCAAGAUAGAAAACACCUACAAAAGAGAAAUGCUGCAGGAGACAUAACACCCACCAAAAUGAAACCCACUUCACAACAGAAAUGCACUGCAAAACAGAAACGCGCCACAAAUAGGAUAACACAAUGGAGGGGAUUCCACAACGGAAGUGCUCCAGGUCACUAGAUGGCAGAGCUGAGUUUCAACACCAGAAACAGACAACGAGUGAAUAAGAAAGUUGAAGUUGGAGGGAGAGACUACUAGAAAAGGUGUACUUUUCUCUUUCCUACGUUUUUACGUGUCUCUCAGAUGUUGCUGUGAAAAUACUUGUGUAGGUAUAGUUGAUUUACAUAGCUGAUUUUAGUGGGGUUGAGAUUGUGAGUACUGUAACUAACACUAUGGGACACACCAGGUGUGUGUGUUGCAUUCAUUUUAGUUUACAUUCAUUUAAUUUAAUCACUUUAUGUGUAUUUGAAGCAGUCCACAAUUAUCAAUGCUUCUCUUCUAGGCUGUCAUGUCCCAUGUGUGAGUCGUCCAGGUACCUUGUUAAAUACCUGGUGUGUCCCAGAAAUUAAUGUUUGUUACAGUAACGUUAACACUACAAAUUCACUUCUCACAACCCCAAGCCCACUAAAAUCAGCUGUGUAAAUCAGCAAAACCUACACAAGUAUUUUCACAGCAGCAUCUGAGGGCCACAUGUAAAAACUUAGGAAAGAGAAAAGUAUACCUUUUCAAGUUGUCUCUCCAAUUUCAGUAAGAUUUAAACAACUUCUAGCCGUGUAUUAGACCACUCUAAGCCACAAGUUGGAGUGGGAAAACCACGGCAAGCUGUGGAUCAGGAAAACCACGGCAAGCUGUGGAUCGGGAACACCAGGACAAGCUGUGGAUCGGGAACACCAGGACAAGCUGCGGAUCGGGAACACCAGGACAAGCUGCGGAUCGGGAACACCAGGACAAGCUGCGGAUCGGGAACACCAGGACAAGCUGCGGAUCGGGAACACCAGGACAAGCUGCGGAUCGGGAACACCAGGACAAGCUGCGGAUCGGGAACACCAGGACAAGCUGCGGAUCGGGAACACCAGGACAAGCUGUGGACUGGGAACACCAGGACAAGCUGUGGAUCAGGAACACCCGGACAAGCUGCGGAUCAGGAACACCAGGACAAGCUGCGGAUCAGGAACACCCGGACAAGCUGCGGAUCAGGAACACCAGGACAAGCUGCGGAUCAGGAACACCAGGGCAAGCUGUGGACUGGGAACACCAGGACAAGCUGUGGAUCGGGAACACCAGGACAAGCUGCGGAUCAGGAACACCAGGACAAGCUGUGGAUCAGGAACACCAGGACAAGCUACGGAUCAGGAACACCAGGACAAGCUGUGGACUGGGAACACCAGGACAAGCUGUGGAUCAGGAACACCAGGACAAGCUGUGGACUGGGAACACCAGGACAAGCUGUGGAUCAGGAACACCAGGACAAGCUGUGGAUCAGGAACACCAGGACAAGCUGCGGAUCAGGAACACCAGGACAAGCUGUGGAUCAGGAACACCAGGACAAGCUGCUGAUCAGGAACACCAGGACAAGCUGCGGAUCAGGAACACCAGGACAAGCUGCGGAUCAGGAACACCAGGACAAGCUGCGGAUCAGGAACACCAGGACCAGCUGCGGAUCAGGAACACCAGGACCAGCUGCGGAUCAGGAACACCAGGACAAGCUGCGGAUCAGGAACACCAGGACAAGCUGCGGAUCAGGAACACCAGGACAAGCUGCGGAUCAGGAACACCAGGACCAGCUGCGGAUCAGGAACACCAGGACAAGCUGCGGAUCAGGAACACCAGGACCAGCUGCGGAUCAGGAACACCAGGACAAGCUGUGGACCGGGAACACCAGGACAAGCUGUGGAUCAGGAACACCAGAACAAGCUGUGGACUGGGAACACCAGGACAAGCUGUGGACUGGGAACACCAGGACAAGCUGUGGAUCAGGAACACCAGGACAAGCUGUGGAUCAGGAACACCAGGACAAGCUGUGGACUGGGAACACCAGGACAAGCUGUGGAUCAGGAACACCAGGACAAGCUGUGGAUCAGGAACACCAGGACAAGCUGUGGAUCAGGA